AGACUUUCACCUUCAUCUGGGCUCUUCUCAUCAUACUGCAGCUGCUUGUGGAUAGUAUCCAGAAGGAGGCAGGUGGUGGGCCAGGGACAUAUCAGGCCUGUCAUAUAAUGGGAGGGCAAGGAUAGCCCCUUCAGACUUGCCAUUGAAUGUCGGUCAGGACGCCAGAGCUGUGGUGGCUCUCCAGCACCAGAGACGCAAAGAUAGAAAACCAGUGAGCUGAGGAUGGCUGGGUACUUGGGGACCCUGUUGGAGCUUGCAUGAGAUCUGGGAGCUGCCUGCCUCCCCACUCCUAGUUAAAUUUGGUAUUGGCUCCAUCUCUUCAAGUUCCUCUGUGGCAGAUGCCACUGAGGUUUUAUCUAAGCGUCAUCACUACCGUCCUCCCAGGGGCUACUUCUUCCUGCCUCCAAUUCCUGUGAGCCUCGUCCCCUCAGUCCUCAUCGUCCCGGAUGAACCCAACAGUGGCUUUGUAGCAGAUGCCAAAGGGCCCAUGGAAGAUCACAGCCUCAUGGAAAGGAUGCAUUGUCCUCCCAGCAUUCUAGGGCUUGGGCCUUUUCUGUAGAACUUCGGUAUGCCCCACUCUGAGGAUAGAUGACAAUAUCAUAUUGGAAAGGCCAGUGAGAUAUCUGGGACAGCCAUCUCUCUCAUUAAGUGGAAACCUAGUCCCUUUUGUGGAGAAAUUCAUAACAAUAAACUUGCGGUGGAUUGUUACAAAGGGCACAUGGAAGGAUAAGUUGCAUUAAACCCAGAGUCCUGUGGGAUCCCACAGAAAGACUGGCUUAGACUCAAAUGCUAAUAGCCCCACUGAUGAUCACAGACUACUUGAGUGCGCAGAAAUGGCAAGGCCAAGUUGUCUACUCUUUCCCCAGCUGGCAGGAGCAGUCUUCCUGGAACAGCUCCCUCCUACCUCCCAUUCUCUGUGCACUUAAAAACUUCUGGGAAUCUUACUUCCUGCCCCAAGCCUUGUCAGACAAAUGGAUGGAUUGAGAAAUCACCUUUCACAGAAACCUCAUGGCCUUACUUUCAGACACAAUGAUUAGAAAAUAAAACAAAACACCAAAUUAAUUAUUUUCUAGAGCAAAGUGUGAACCCUAGAAAAUAAUACCAGAGUAUUUUUCAGACCCAUCUAGAGAGUAGGAUGCUGGACAGGGAGCAUGCAGAGGGCUGAAUAUAUGCAGGGCCCUGCCUCUGCUGGGCGGCUUAGUCUCACAUGUCUUCCUCUUUAAUCCUUGAGAUGAUUCUUUGGAGUAAGGAAUACAAUUAUUAGUAGCUAAGUGAGGGAAAAGAGGCUCACCGAGUUUGGAGAAUUUAUGUCAGAUCACACAGCUAUUUGCAACUGACCUAGGAUGAAUCUGUCUGAUUUCCAAAGCUCAUGGAUAUCUCACUGUACUCCUUUGAGUUGUCACAUGAAUUGUGCUCCUCAAUUCAUCCACCAGUACCCUGCACCUCCACAUGGCCAAUCCAUCUGGUCCCCAACCAUGUGUGCACCACACCCUGAGGCUGUGCAGGGCCCAGUGGUGAUUGCUAUUGUCUCCAUUGUCCAUAGUUUUCCUGAACCAACUCAUAAGUUGGUUGGAACUACCCUUUGGGGAGAUGCAGUCUUCCCUCUGCUUCUCUGUUAGGCUUGUGCCUGGUCUCCUGAGGGUCCACAGGUCUUUGGGAGGAUAGCCCCUCCUUACCCUGCUCCCACCAUGAAGAGCAGAGUCUGAUUCUGCUUGUUUCAAACCUGGCACUGCUGUUCCAGUCACUCCUGCAAUCCCUAUUUUGUGUUGUCUUGGUGGUAGUUUGUGUGUAUUUGUUCACUGGUUAGUCUGAGAGCAGCUCUGCAUUCAAAACUCAUUUGGUCAACAAAGAUGCAUGACCUGCCCUCAGCCCACUGAUAAACCCUUCUCCAACUCAGGUUAGUGGCUCUGCCCACUUCUUUAAGGGGUUCAUUUCCAGAAACCUCUCUUGACAAUUUUGGACACUAAGUGAAAGGAUGGCCUUGCUAAUAAAUUAACAGAGAAAAACAAACUAUCUAACAGAAAGACAAAAAGAAAGAUCAUAGCACAUAAUUGCCCUUUUGAAGAGAAAGAUCACAACACACAACUGCCCCUUUGUUUGAUUGGCAACCUGUGAAUUGAGCAGAUAGGAGUAUGAUGCCCCUAAUGCCCCAGUUCCUGCCAGACCACUUCCCAAGGACCCUGAUAAGCCAGCCUCAGAGAGAAGAGGGAAACACAGAUGCAGCCACUUCAAAGCUGUCUUCUUCUAUCAGCCAGCAGUCAUAACUAUUCUUUUUUUCUUCUUUCUUUACCCCCAAUAAAAACCCCAAACCCUUUAUCCUCCCUGCCGGCACUUCUUCUUUCUUUCCUGUGCUAAGCCCUUUCCCUCCACCCCAAAGUAAAAUAAACUUUUUACUUCCUUCUA